CAGCAGCCGCGUUAAUACAGAGGGUGCGAGCGUUAAUCGGAUUUACUGGGCGUAAAGCGUGCGUAGGCGGCUUUUUAAGUCGGAUGUGAAAUCCCUGAGCUUAACUUAGGAAUUGCAUUCGAUACUGGGAAGCUAGAGUAUGGGAGAGGAUGGUAGAAUUCCAGGUGUAGCGGUGAAAUGCGUAGAGAUCUGGAGGAAUACCGAUGGCGAAGGCAGCCAUCUGGCCUAAUACUGACGCUGAGGUACGAAAGCAUGGGGAGCAAACAGGAUUAGAUACCCGCGUAGUCCCUGUCUCUUAUAC
rnacentral:rRNA from 1 species